CCUUGUCUGUCAUCACCCCAUGAUCUCAACCACAGCUCGUCCUACGAUCUUGCCAUGAUUGAGAUCCUCAUAGGCGCCAUUCGCCUCCUCGAAUUUGCAUUUCCUUGAUAUGGUGUUCUGGAGAUUGAAGGCACCACUCUCCGCGAGCUUCACUAUCUGAGGAAGGUCUUUCCUGGCCCUUGCGCCAUAUGAGCCAAUGAUUUUCACCUGGUUCCAAAUAAACAUGAGCGGAUGGACAAGGAACCACAAUACAGAAGGAUGAACAAGGAAUCAAUUGCAUACCUAUCGUCGGACAAGACGGGUUAUAUCAACCUCUCCCAUUACGUUCAUUGCAGCAAGCCCGAUCAUAACAGCUUUGCCUCCAUCACGCACGCUCUUGGCGCACUGGGAAAAUGUUAACGCCUUACCAAGUGCAUCUAUAGCCACAUCUACACCCCUACCAUCAGUAAUUUCCUGUGAACAGCAAGGCAUUCACAUCUGAAUAGUAUUAAUACAUAGCUGGAAAGUUCCAUAUGCACAUUUUGACACAGCCCACUUGAAGAAAAAGAAAAACAAGAUAAGCAAUAGCAUGACUUGUAAUGAAGUAGAUAUAUAGAAUUACUUUCUGAACUUCAUUGAUAGAUUACAAACUUUGGUAGUCUGAGACAUACCUUUAUACUUUCAACUGCAUCAUCGUUUGCUGCAUUUACAGUGUGGGUUGCUCCAAGUGUUGUAGCGUUCUGGAGCUUCUCAUCAAGGACAUCCACUGCAAUGACUUGGGAAGCUCCAAAGGCUUUUGCUAUCUGUAAACAGCUGCAAAUAAAAGAACUGUUUUUUUUAAGAUUCAAGUAAGAGGGAAGAAGAAGGGUCAUGUUUGUUUGUGCAUUCAUAGUCCCAAAAAAGUGGAGAAAAGAAAUAUCCUCAAAUUUAUCAGACAUCAGCUGACCUUGACUCAACCCCUCCAACUCCAAUCACAGCUACCGAAUCACCAGGCCGCAUUUCAGCAGGAGGCCUUAGGGCACCAUACGCGGUAAACACUGCACAUCCUAAAAUUGCUGAUUCUGUGUAUGGCAAUGAGUCAGGAAGAACUGCUAGCGCAUUGGCUGGGACAACACAAUACUCUGCAAGCCCUCCCAUACUAUACAUGUACACCGAUUUCCCUGCAGAUGGAGAAUUUUCAGGUUACUUGAAGCAAUUAUAUUGUGGUGUUCUCGAUAAAAAAAAUACUGUGGUGUUACUGAUGAUGAUGCAUGAUGUGGAUCUGUUUCCUCAGGUUACCAUUGCCCCUUAGAAACAGUCGUGUCUCGCCAUCAUAGAGUGUCCCCUUGGCACAAUUAUACGCGAAGAAAGACUCGCACAGAUCUUCUUGGCCCUGUAUCAAAUCAAUGGGCAUGAGCGUAACAAGCAAGAAAAGCACAGAAACAUAUGUCGUAAUUCAACGAAGUUGCUCUACCUUAACGCAGUAGAAGCAAUUCCCACAUGGCAUUAUGAAGGCGCCGACGUAGUCCAAGAUCUUAAAAGCAUAAUGACAAAUAUUAGUAAUUCUUGUACACUGGUUACAGAAGGCAUGCCAAGUCAUAAUUGCAGAAGAACAGAUCACAUAUUCACAUUUUAAUAUAAAGUUACAAGCAAUGGCCAAAUUCGCAUCUCUAAGCCAAUAUUAUUGAGUUGUUUUCCCAUUUACUUCGAAGCAGUUGUAAAUUUGAAUGUAAACUGAAACAAUGGGACUAAAAGGUAUUUUUCUCUCUAAAAAGUAUACACAUAAAAGGGAGAUGAGUAACAUAACAUAGCACAUCGUAGUAUUUGACAGUAGCUCAAGGAAUCUUGGACACCUGAAAGCCAAAAAGCACAAGAACAAAUCUACAGAUAACAGAACAAAAAAGCAACCCCAUUCACCAAUGCGAACAGAAACAUUCCAUUCUAUCUACAUGUUAAUGCACUUCAGAGGGCACCAGGCGAACCUUUCUCGACGUGGCGGUUGCAGGUUUAACGGUGAAGACGGGGAUGCGAAAAAAGCGACGUGAUUACCUGACUGAGGAGAGAGGAGGAGGUGGCCUCGGAUCCGGAGGACGCGGCGGAGGUGGACGGCGAGGUGUCGGGGUCGGGGAGUCGAGGAGGACAGCGAGGAGGAGGACGCAUGCGAGGGCGAGGAGGAGGGAGAGCAAGAGGCGCACCCACCACGGCCGCUGCUGCCACCGGCGCUUGAACGGCGGUCGUCGCUGGUCCAGGAACGGCCGCCUCAGCGGGCCGCGCUCUCGCCGGCAGGGCGGGAGGGGAUGCGGCGCGGGAUCGCGAGAAGAGGAUCCAUGGACAGAGCGGCAGUGGGCUGCACGGUAGGGGCGGAGGACGCGUGGGGGAGGCGGGGGAGAGCGGGCGUAGCGGGGGAGAGCAGGCGUAGCGGGGGAUUCGCCGCGGGCGUAGCGGGGGAUUAGCAGCGGGCGGUUGGGGAAUCGCGGUGGCGGGGGGCGAGAGGAAUCUCGCGGUAGGGGCGGGCGGGUGCGUUAUCGCGGGCGGGAGGGGAUGGAGCGGGGGCAGUCUACACUUGCCCUGAAUUUGCAUCAUUACAAACCAUCAUCAGUGAGAACAAUCACAUGGCUGUCAUCUAGGUUCAAAACUUAAUACAUCCAUUGUUUAUCUCCACUUCUGUAUAAAAAUGCAUGAUCAGGAUACAUUAGAAGUGUGCGCUCAAGUUAUGUCUGCCAUUUCCUUCCAGCAUAUGCUAAAACAAAACAAUUGCUUGACAUUAAUAGAGCAACUAUCACACUUACAUAGGUAACAUCAUUUUCUUCAAAGGUAUUUCGCAUAUUAAGUUUAUCAACAACAGUUCUUCUCUAGAAGAGGAAGCAGGGGAAAAGUAGUUAAUCAGAUAUUGGACAAGAAUUGCUAGUGUACCUAGUAAUGAACUCUGGAUCAAGAUAAAAAACUCAUUAAUUCUUUUGAGCUGACACAACAUUAAGGGUCGUACAUGUCGUAGUACCCGUCGUCGUACCUGAGCCCUGUUGGAUUGGAUCGCCCACGCACGCAGCAGAUCUAAAACGCCCUGCCACUCAAAUCCAAGGAAUCAGCUAGUAUUUGGCGUGAUGGUGCCCAGUCUCGAGGAGCAGUUGCAGGAUCUUGCCAUGCCAAAACAAUCAGAGCAUCAAACACCCUACGUCAUGGCUAUUUUAAAUUUCACUAUAUUUACCUAAAAACAACGAUUUGCAUGAUCAUAUACACGAUCUGCUGGAGAUAACAUAAUUAAGUUGACACUUAGCACACCAAGAAACAAGCUACCAAUGCCACCAAAUACCCUACGUCAGGUACAAGUCAGGUUGCAAUCUGGUGACAUUGAACGAACCGAGACGGCCAGGACAUUCGCCUUCCAACUCUAAAAAAAAGGUCAGGUGGCAAUUCAAACAAUCACCAUGGGUACGAACACUAAAACCUUGCUGGUAUGCCUGAUCCCAGGGCUCGUUUACCAGCUCCAGCCUCAUCGAUUCUCUCCUGUGUCGGCCGCGACAACAAUGGCCGGCAAGAUCGAGAUCUUCACCGUGUACCAGCACGACAGGCUGAACGAGACCGGGUACGUCGUCGUCACCGGCGACGAAGGCGCCCCCUCGAGUGACACACCAAAGUGGUUCAAUGUGAUUGUUUUUGUUCUAGCCAAAGUAUGACAUAUAGCUUCUCAAAACUGAAAUGGGUUUCAAUUGAUAAAUUUUCAUCAGGUUUUCGCACGAGCAGUAGUGGGCCUCGUGUUCAUUUUAUGUUUGAGCGACAAAUUGACUAACAUAUCGCAGGCUACUAAAGAACAGUUGCAGCAACAAAUUCUCUUGAAAACUUACCUUGGCCUGAGAAGCUGUGGUAGUCGUCGUUGCGUUGCAGCGAACCCCCGACGGUGUCCUGCCGUCCGGUCCGGGUCAGUGUUCAUAUUUUUGCAACGACAUAGUCUCGUAUUGUCAUUUAACAAAGGAAAACCAUUGAAACAUUAGACAACAUAAAAACUGAUAUACACAUUUAGGCAUGUUGAAACACUCAGGCUGGUACAUGCAACGCAGAAAUUCACGCAACACAGGUACCAUCCACGCAACACUGCCAACAUAAUAACUGAACAAAUGAAAUAUUCAGGCAUGUUGAAUCACAAGAUCUGAACAUAUCUGGCACAUGUUUAAGUGCGUGGCUAGAAUGUCGUAUGGGACAUCGAUUCUACUUAUCUUAAAGUAUUGACUGAUAAUGACAUUUGAUUAGUAAGUUCUUUUUUGUCUUGACUGAAUAUUUUUGAAGGGCAAAUGUACAGACAUAAUUUAAGGGCAAAUGUUAAUUCCAGCAACACACUGUAACACACACACACACAAUGCAGUUUGGUCAUCUACAGAUUUUGACAAUGUUGUGAAAGAGCACGCAAAACUUUAUUGUUGUGUGACCCAGACUUGGAACCACAGGAUUGAAUACCUUGUCUGUCAUCACCCCAUGAUCUCAACCACAGCUCGUCCUACGAUCUUGCCAUGAUUGAGAUCCUCAUAGGCGCCAUUCGCCUCCUCGAAUUUGCAUUUCCUUGAUAUGGUGUUCUGGAGAUUGAAGGCACCACUCUCCGCGAGCUUCACUAUCUGAGGAAGGUCUUUCCUGGCCCUUGCGCCAUAUGAGCCAAUGAUUU
rnacentral:lncRNA from 1 species